UAAUAUGAGAGUUUGAUCCUGGCUCAGGAUAAACGCUGGCGGCGCACAUAAGACAUGCAAGUCGAACGGAAGUCGUUAUGAUGAUUUCAAUAUGGACAGAGAACUUGUUCGAAGAAAAUGGAGAUUGACUUAUAACAAUGGCUUUAGUGGCGGACUGGUGAGUAACACGUGAGCAACCUGCCUAUCAGAGGGGAAUAACAGUGAGAAAUCAUUGCUAAUACCGCAUAUGCCAUAAAUAUCACAUGAUGAAAGUGGGAAAGGAGUAAUCCGCUGAUAGAUGGGCUCGCGUCUGAUUAGAUAGUUGGUGGGGUAACGGCCUACCAAGUCGACGAUCAGUAGC
rnacentral:rRNA from 1 species